CUAUUCAAAAAAGGAUGCAAUGGAGAACAUUUACAGAGAGGCCUGUGGGUAAAGCAAAGUCUUCAAGAGAAGAUAACAAAGGAUGAAACAAUGGUGUUGUGUGACUUCCUAGUGUGAAUCAUGGCAAUACAGUGAAAGACGGUGAUUUACUGCUUUUGAGGGCAUGCAUGUAUAUGAUUAACAGAUGGAAGUGCAGGACUCCAAGAUUUACUUCCUUCCCUUUCCAGCAGAAUUACCUGAGAGGAGUAAAAUCUACUGGUGGAGUCACUCCGUUAUUCCUAUCUGUGGAGAUCUAGAUCUUGAUUGGAAAGUUUCUGAGAAAAUCUUCAGCUCAGACUUGAAGGUCAACUUUACCAGCUGAAGUGACUACAUCCUGCCUGCUUUCAGCUCCAGUGGAAAAUGCAUUAAUCCCAGAGUCUCCGUGAGGUUUCCUGUUUGAUGACAUAAUCAGAAAAUCCUCCUCACAUUGCCCUUGGGGUUGCUGUCUGGAUGUUAUGUUGUCUUGGUGGGCGUAACUCAGCCAUCAAAAAAAUCAGCACAGGCCAUAAACUCAGGACCUGAAAUGCAUUAACGUAAUGUUAAACGAAAUAACGCUGUGGGUAUGUCUGCAGCACUGGUAGGGAAUUUCAUUAAACUGCAGAUUCUCCCUGG